AUGAACAGUCUCAUCAUUCAUAAUAAUCUACAAGAUAUUAAAAAUAUACAUUAUAAUCAGUACUUUAGUGACAACAAUCAAGAAAGGCCGAGAAAAAUUUGUUUGGAAACUUUAGAUAUCACGGUGUUUUCACGGCAACGCAGAAGCAACAAAUUCUACAGACAAAGAAGUUACCAUCGCUACAGUGGUGAAAAGAAAAACAAAAUGAAUUUUGUAAAAGGAAAAUCAAAGACAGCUAAACUCACGAGUCAAAUGAUUAUAUACAUACAAUUGUUUGAACCCGUAAGAAUGUUCAUGGCAAUCUUGAAGAGAAAAUCAACAAUAGUAAGAAAAUUGGUCCUCAUUCUUAGCUAA